ncrna:unclassified sequences DTF3800-VIII RNA
AUAGCCCUGCACGUUGCGAAGUCUCAAGUGCCACUUGGGAUACGAACUCUAAAAAAUUUCAUAGCAACUGCGGGGCUAU